UUGGGUGUCAAACCCGUACGCGUAAUGAAAGUGAACGGAGGCGGGAACCCCUCGGGGUGCACCGUCGACCGAUCCUGAUGUCUUCGGAUGGAUUUGAGUAAGAGCAUAGCUGUUGGGACCCGAAAGAUGGUGAACUAUGCCUGAAUAGGGUGAAGCCAGAGGAAACUCUGGUGGAGGCUCGCAGCGGUUCUGACGUGCAAAUCGAUCGUCAAAUUUGGGCAUAGGGGCGAAAGACUAAUCGAACUAUCUAGUAGCUGGUUCCUGCCGAAGUUUCCCUCAGGAUAGCAGUAACGUUUUCAGUUUUAUGAGGUAAAGCGAAUGAUUAGAGGCCUGGGGGUUGAAACAACCUUCACCUAUUCUCAAACUUUAAAUAUGUAAGAAGUCCUUGUUGCUUAGUUGAACGUGGACAUUUGAAUGUAUCGUUACUAGUGGGCCAUUUUUGGUAAGCAGAACUGGCGAUGCGGGAUGAACCGAACGCGGAGUUAAGGUGCCGGAAUGCACGCUCAUCAGACACCACAAAAGGUGUUGGUUCAUCUAG
rnacentral:rRNA from 1 species